rnacentral:rRNA from 1 species
UACGUAGGGUGCAAGCGUUAAUCGGAAUUACUGGGCGUAAAGCGUGCGCAGGCGGUUGUGCAAGACCGAUGUGAAAUCCCCGGGCUUAACCUGGGAAUGGCAUUGGUGACUGCACGGCUAGAGUGUGUCAGAGGGGGGUAGAAUUCCACGUGUAGCAGUGAAAUGCGUAGAGAUGUGGAGGAAUACCGAUGGCGAAGGCAGCCCCCUGGGCUAGCACUGACGCUCAGGCACGAAAGCGUGGGGAGCAAACAGG